rnacentral:rRNA from 1 species
GUAGUUAGCCGGGGCUUCCUCCUCAGGUACCGUCAUUUGUUUCGUCCCUGAGGACAGAAGUUUACAAUCCGAAAACCUUCUUCCUUCACGCGGCGUUGCUGGGUCAGGGUUUCCCCCAUUGCCCAAUAUUCCCCACUGCUGCCUCCCGUAGGAGUCUGGGCCGUGUCUCAGUCCCAGUGUGGCCGUUCAGCCUCUCAGCUCGGCUACCCAUCGUCGGCUUGGUGCGCCGUUACCGCACCAACUACCUAAUGGGACGCGAGUCCAUCUUAAAGCGCCUCAGCUUUGACCCCUUUGCCAUGCGGCAUUGUGGUCUUAUGCGGUAUUAGCAACGAUUUCUCGUUGUUAUCCCCCUCUUCAAGGCAGGUUACUCACGCGUUACUCACCCGUCCGCCACUAAUCCCGAAGGAUCCGUUCGACUUGCAUGUGUUAAGCCUGCCGCCAGCGUUCGCUCUGAGCCAGAAUCAAACUCUGA